UGUAGCAUAUAGCCCUUAAUGUUAAGCCCUUCUAUAGGCUCUCCUUGGUAGUCAUCUUCUGUAUCAAACUUAUCCCUGCUGAAACCUUAUUUGAUUGUUUUGUUCAAUUUCUUUAUUUUAUUCUAAAUAUAUGUAGGACUUGAUCUCCAACAGACUUCAGUGGAGCUCUGCCAGUUUAUACAAGCUGAAGAUCUGGGCCACAGUUUGCCCCCUGAGAGUUCCAGCAAGCUCAGACCAAGUUUCUAAGGAGAGAGCAGAUAUACAAUUUUUCCUGGGUUAAAAGGGAAAUAAAUCUGCUCAACAAGCCAGACUGAGUACACUGGACCAUCAGAGCCUGCUGAGAUAAUCUUCAGCCUUCCUCAGGGCUGCUUAUCAGUUCCAGUGAAGAAACUACUAGAUUCCCAAAUGGUUCCCUAACAGCCACUUUGCUGCCUUCCUCCAGCGCCUAUGUCCUGCAAUGAUCGCAGCAUGUCCAGAUUGAAGAAUCAGAUCCGUUGUGUUGAAAGCAGACUGCUACCAGGACAGGCAGCAUGGCGUAGCUUUGUGCCUUAUUUAUCCUUUUGCAAGACCAGAUGCUUAUCUAGCUGAACCCCUAUGUUCCUAUACUGCAUGAACUGGCACAAGUUUAUUAACUGUUCUUAAUAAAGUUUGUAAAUAGUGGGUACCAGAGCCUUUGUUACCUGCUUCAAAGCUAUGGAAUAUACUGUGUAAUGACAUUACAUCUAUUCCCUUGGUUCCAGUGUUUAAGAGAGAGAUGAGGUAUCUAUGUUUUUUCAAGCCUUUCAGGCAGUUUGAGCUCUGCAAACUCUUCAUACUGUAUAAUGCCUUGAGACACUUUGUAAACAAAUGAGGGUUGUAUUGGAGAUUUUGCUUCCUUUAUUCCAGUAUGGAAAGUAAACAUCGCAGGAUA